GAUGAACGCUGGCGGCGUGCCUAAUACAUGCAAGUCGAGCGAACAGACGAGGAGCUUGCUCCUCUGACGUUAGCGGCGGACGGGUGAGUAACAUGUGGAUAACCUACCUAUAAGACUGGGAUAACUUCGGGAAACCGGAGCUAAUACCGGAUAAUAUAUUGAACCGCAUGGUUCAAUAGUGAAAGACGGUUUUGCUGUCACUUAUAGCUGGAUCCGCGCCGCAUUGGCUAGUUGGUAAGGUAACGGCUUACCAAGGCAACGAUGCGUAGCCGACCUAAGAGGGUGAUCGGCCACACGGGAACUGAACCACGGACCAGGGUCCUACGGGAGGCAGCAGUAGGGAAUCUUCCGCAAUGGGCGAAAGCCUGACGGAGCGACGCCACGUGAGUGAUGAAGGUCUUCGGAUCGUAAAACUCUGUUAUUGGGGAAGAACAAAUGUGUAAGUAACUAUGCACGUCUUGACGGUACCUAAUCAGAAAGCCACGGCUAACUACGUG
rnacentral:rRNA from 1 species